AAGAUUUGAGAAAAAGGAGGAAGGAGAGAAUGAGACCAACCUUUUUUUGAAAGGAGAGAAUGAGACCAACCUUCUCAAUUAUAGGUUUGAUUGACCUCAUCUUUGGAGGGGGCGGGAUACGGAGAACUCUCUCUGGAGGAGGUGGUUCCAGGGGGCGGGGAUCGGAGAACUCUCUCUGGAGGAGGUGGUUCCAGGCUCUCCGAGAGAGAGAGAGCCACGGAAGGACCUGUUCUUGGACACAUCGACUGGGUUUGGUCGGCAUCCACGGUGAGGUCCGGCCUCACCUCGGCGACUAACUAUAUCGAUUAGGAGCCCUCCGACCUUCCUCAAGCCUGUGGUGGUGGCUAGCACCAGUUCAAACUGAAAAAGAGCCAACUAAAGAGGGUCCUAUGGGUUCCUCCUAGUCCGACCACAGAUUGAAGGUGGACUCGGGACACUUAUAUGAAAAGUUGAGGUAAUGAGUUGUAUUUCUUGUAUUAAAUCUGGGUCAGGGUGUUACAAAUGGUAUCAGAGCGGGGAUAUGAUUACUGGGGUAUAAACUUUGGCGAGAAUAGAAUGGUACUUUGGAUUUUCAUAAUUCUAAAAGUUUGUUAUUGAUGGUUGUGAUUUGUUUUAGGCCAGGAACUAAGAUUUUAAUGGGUGUCAGUAUGUUGAUGGUCUUUAGUUGCGUGUGUGUGUGAGUUGUUGAUAUCAAUUUGUUGGAUUUUAGUGGGACUUGUGUGGCUACUGUCUGUUCUGGUGUGGGUAUUAUUCCUGUUGUUAAACUGUUUUGGUUAUGAGAACCAAAAUCUGAUCACUUUGGUAUGAGUAUCAUAAUUGAUCAGUUCGAUUUAUGAACUAUUGGAAUGAUAGAUGUAAUUUUAGACAUCUGCAAGUCUUGAAUACAAUUACUAUGAUAUGGAGUUUCUCACAAGAUUAGUUACAGUUGGAAUGAUGGAGCCUAUGGUUAUAGGUUAAACAAUCUUUGUGAGAAUAAGAUAUGAAUUCUUAAAUGCCUGAAUGCAUGUUGUGAUUUGAAAUUGAAAAAUAAUAAUAAUAAUAAUACUCUUUCCAUAUGAGUUUAGAUAUUGUGCUUGACUUAGAACCUUGGGUUAUGCUCUUUUGAAGAACGAUUUGCGUAAGUGUGAAGAGUAUUUUUGCAACUAAAUAUUGUAUACUGGUUUUGAUAAAUUUCUGUCACUUAGAAUACUAUUUAGUAUGUCAGAACAAGUUCGAAACUGAUAUUGAGUUCUUAGCUUAUGCAUCGCCAAGUGGGUGCUGGACUGUUGUUUUUGUUGUCAAAUAAUUUUCUAUGCAGUUGGGUAACCAAAGUGUGUUUCAUUUUACUAUUGGAUCCAACUUCCCUGAUCAAAACUUACUUCUAGGUUGUUGGCCUUAAGUAUGAUUAUCAGCAUAGCCUUGGGGUAAGGUUAUCAAUAGUUAUGUUAAUAGACAUUGUUUGUUCUUCCACCAUUAUAUCUAUUAUUGAGGUUCACCUAUUGGUCCAAUAGUAUGAAAAUGUUGGUAUGAUUGAUAUUAGGAAAUUGUUGAAAAUUGGAAACUGAUGCUUGCUGGUAUAGAAGUGUAUGUAUUAGUAAUAUCGAUUUCUAUAACUGUAUAUGUUGAUGUAUCUUAAANNN
rnacentral:lncRNA from 1 species